rnacentral:lncRNA from 1 species
AUGCCUUGUUCUUGGACUUCCAGCCUCCAGAAUUGUCAGAAAAACUUCCUUCCUGAAGCCACCCAGCCUGUGGUAUUUGUUAAUGUAGCUGGAGCAAGGCAGACCCACAGGGACCUCUGGAAGCAGAGUCCCAUCCCUUUCCCCCAGCAGGAACCAAGAAAAUGCAAGAUGCAAGGUAGUAUCCGAACUUCAAAGGAAAACAAAAUGCAUGUUUACAGGUACAAGUAGACCACACAGCUUCUGGGGUUGGGAAGAAAUUCUGUUUCUGAACCUCCUAACAAGCCCAGUGAGAAAGAAAACAACUUUGUUUUCAAGUAGUAAAUAAAGAAAAAAAGAUGCUUAUGAAAUGCUUGACC